rnacentral:lncRNA from 1 species
UGAGUUGGUUGGUUGUUUUCAUCUGACUUCUCUGCUCAGAAAUUAUGAACCUGAUUUUGCCCGU